rnacentral:rRNA from 14 species
ACAUACGGCCAUAACUAUCAGAUAACUCGGGAUCCCGUCCGCUCUCCGUUCGAUAAACUGAUAAGUGCUGAAUUAGUAGUUAGGUCAGUAACGACCAGCGAAUCCUCAGUGUUAUAUGU